UUUCAUGUCAUGCAGCUACAGAAUUUCGUCUCUGAUUCUUUUCCGGCUGGCUUCAGAGUAGUUUAUCUCGAUCCACUAGCAUAUCACCGGCGACGGUCAAUCGAUCUUGUUCGCGACUUGGCGGUCCGUAUGAUUCAAAUGAAAAUUUCUAUAUCGAGAUUUCAGGAAUUUCCACAAUGAGUGCAGUGAUCCUUUGCAGGUGGUUCAUUUGGAGGGAAUAGAGGAUUGAGACCCGUACCCCCAGAGAAAGGAGUCUUCCCUUUGGAUCAUAUGCACCUCUGCGACCAAGAGAAGAAAGAAUACCUCAAUUGUCUUAAAACCUCUGGUCACCAAUCCGAAAAAUGCAGGCACUUAUCGAAAAAAUACCUU